CUACUUACUAUUCAUCAUAUUAUUCAAUCAUGCUGCAAUAACCUUAACCCUGUGGCUCUCUGGACCUCUCCUUCAGAUGAAACACCACAUGGCUGCUUAACUCUGACAGACCAGCUUUUAAUUCCUUGGGAGCGAUUCCUGUGGACAAUGCUGAGUUGUCGUGGUUUACAGAUGGCUCACAUUUAAAGAAUGAGUCUGGCAAGUAUUGUGCAGGCUGUGCAGUCAUGACUUCCUUUGAGAUUGUGAAAGCAGCUCAUUUACUAUUAACUACUUCAGCCCAGCAGGCAGAUCUGUUUGCCCUCACUUGAGCCUGACUCCUUGCUACAGGAAAGACUGUUUAUGUAAGCAGCAGGGUAGUGUUGACAGAAUUGCUCUUGAUUAUCUAUUAGCCAAGCAAGAUGGUAUCUAUGCGAUUGCUAAUACUGCAUGUUGUACCCAGGUUAACUCCUCCAGGUGAACACUUGGCAGGACAACAGGCAGACAAGGAGCAGCCUGGGCUACACCCUCCUCCAUCCAGCUUGGCAGGGAAGGUUGGGGCAGGGCCUCGCUAGGAGAUAGGGACUGGAGGGCGAGGCCAGGGGCAGGGUUAGGCAUGGGGACAGCACCACGGUGGGGCCUUCCUGGCUCACUGUCCACUACCAGGUACUGGGAUCCCCAGUUAUUUUAUUGCCUCACCGUGAAAAGAAGUGAAAGCGUUCCCUAAACAUAAUUUCAUCAUUGUCUUUAUCUCUCUCCCGCCACAUUUCUUCUUUUCUAUUGCUCUUUCUCUCACAAAAGCAGGGGAUAUAUAUCAAACUUGCUAAGUGGUUCUAUUGAAGCUUCUUCCAUUAAGCUUGAGAUAAGGAGAAAAACACCCCUCUCCCUGUUAGGAGGAUUUGGGGUUCACUAUGCAGCUUUCUCUGAAAGAAAACUUUACAAGACACUCUCUUACUUCCAGCUCUCAGCUCUUUUUAGAUCCACAUUAGAUUGAGAGGCUCAAGUGUCACGAUAUUGAUUAUUAUUAUUGAGUAUUUCCUAUCAAUAUCUUCAUUUUGUGUGUCACAAUUCACUUUAAUAUCUGUUGUCUCCCAGGUCUUGGUGCCUCAGUUGAAACUUCCAAUUUAACAUCCUGACACACACUACUCCCUCUUCUUGUGAUCAUCAGAACAAGAUAAAACCUUGUGUGUCUGGAUAGUUCUCAUCUGUUAAGAUUCAGGCUCAACCACACAUGUGACAAUGUCUCUUGGGGAUGCAGCGGUGAAUUCCUCUCACAGUAUGUCUAAGGAGCAUUGGCUAAAAUUUGUCUUUUCCCCAGGAUGGCUUUCAAAGCAUUUUACUGACUGUGUCAAGCCAGAUCUUAGAGCUGGAACAGUGAGAAAAGUCAUGAGCUCAACCCUGAAGUGGAGAAGAGGCACAUUCUUUGUUUUUCACCAGCCACAAGGCUACAGCAAGAGUAUCUCCCUUUACCUGCCUGGAUGGGAACCCAGGGGACUGGUGCCGGAAGUCUGUGUUCCCAAUCCAUUGAAUGAGAUCGACAAAACCGUCCACAUCAGACACUGUAAUGAAGGUCUACUAACAGGAGGAAUUCAAAUGAUUAAGCAGUAACCAUAUCUUUAGGCUUAGUGAAAUCUUUACUGUGUUUCCUGGUAGGAGUAUCCAGGAUCUGGAAUUCCAGUUCAGCAGAGCAAAAAGUUCAAGAUACCAGAAGCAUAAAUGCCUCCAAGACAGUGAUCAGGAAGUAUGAGGGCAAAGGAGUAUGAGCCUUGAGAACCAGAGCAGCGUGUCCGAGUUCCUCCUCCUGGGCCUCCCCAUCCGGCCAGAGCAGCAGGCUGUGUUCUUCACCCUGUUCCUGGGCAUGUACCUGACCACGGUGCUGGGGAACCUGCUCAUCAUGCUGCUCAUCCAGCUGGACUCUCACCUUCACACCCCCAUGUACUUCUUCUUCAGCCACUUGGCCCUCACUGACAUCUCCUUUUCAUCUGUCACUGUCCCUAAGAUGCUGAUGGACAUGCGGACUAAGUACAAAUCGAUCCUCUAUGAGGAAUGCAUUUCUCAGAUGUAUUUUUUUAUAUUUUUUACUGACCUGGACAGCUUCCUUAUUACAUCAAUGGCAUAUGACCGAUAUGUUGCCAUAUGUCACCCUCUCCACUACACUGUCAUCAUGAGGGAAGAGUUCUGUGUCUUCUUAGUGGCUGUAUCUUGGAUUCUGUCUUGUGCCAGCUCCCUCUCUCACACCGUUCUCCUGACCCAGCUGUCUUUCUGUGCUGCGAACACCAUCCCCCAUGUCUUCUGUGACCUUGCUGCCCUGCUCAAGCUGUCCUGCUCAGAUAUCUUCCUCAAUGAGCUGGUCAUGUUCACAGUAGGGGUGGUGGUCAUUACCCUGCCAUUCAUGUGUAUCCUGGUAUCAUAUGGUUACAUUGGGGCCACCAUCCUGGGGGUCCCUUCAACCAAAGGGAUCCACAAAGCAUUGUCCACAUGUGGCUCCCAUCUCUCUGUGGUGUCUCUCUAUUAUGGGUCAAUAUUUGGCCAGUACCUUUUCCCGACUGUAAGCAGUUCUAUUGACAAGGAUGUCAUUGUGGCUCUCAUGUACACGGUGGUCACACCCACGUUGAACCCCUUUAUCUACAGCCUUAGGAACAGGGACAUGAAAGAAGCCCUUGGGAAACUCUUCAGUAGAGCAACAUUUUUCUCUUGGUGACAUCUGACUUUUUAAAAAAUUAGAAUCUCAUUUUGGUUUAUCUCAUGUAUUUGAUUUUCCAUUUGAAUAUGUCUCAAAACAUUUUAUGUCCUGAAGCCCUAAGACAAAUGUUAACAUGUUGAAUGUAAUUGGUAAAUAUUUGUUGACCAGAAUUCCAUUCUCUUAUUAACAAUGUUAUUCUUUAUAGUUUUUGAUCAGUGAAUGCCAAAUUUUAUUAUUUAUUUCUGCAACUUGGAGAAGGGACAUAAUAAUGCAAUAAUAUACAGUUUUCUUAUCCCUUAUUUGAGGAGAUGUUUGGAGACAUAUAUAUUUUUGGCCUAUAAUCCCAGGCUUUAACACAACAUAGAAUUGAAAGAAUUAGCUGUAUUAUUUUACUAUUCUCUCUAAUGUAGACUGAGUGGUAUCAUUAGUGAAGUAGUGCUUCAUACCAGUCUCCUUGGAAAUAUAACCAAAUUCAAGUGCUAACUCUUGGAAAGCAUCAUUUUCCUAAAAGUGCCACUCCAGAUUCAGCACUGACUGUCUUUCAUGAAGGAUAGUCCUGUCUUCCAAAUGAAGAAUGAAAAGUAACACUUCUCAAAUGUUAGGGUACAUGAGAAUUUCUGGAAAGAUUGUCAAAACUCAGAUUCCUUUGAUCUACCACUACAAAUUAUGAUCUAGUAGAAUUUUGGGUGAGGUCUAAGAAUUUGCAUUCCUAACAAGCUGCCACGUGAAACAAUGCUGUAGAAUGUUUACUAAAUCUUGGAAGUUGUGGGACACACAUUUAUAACACCUCAUCUGAAUUCUGGUAGUAGAUGGGAUGAAACAAGAGACACCUUAAGUUAUUUCAGUAAUAGAGAAAUCAGUGAUUCAUGUUGAUAUUUUUGGAUUAACUCUAGCUGUGGUAAAUUCCUCUCCCCAGUCUCUAAAUUAUCUCAUUUGUAUAUAAUAUAGAAAUACCCAGCUACUCCAUAUCAUGGUUUGUAUCAGCACACCAACCUAUAUAUGUAAUGAAAAUGAAGCCAAAGUUUGGAAAAAAACUACAUCCAGUGUCCAUCUGUGACUUCUUGUUUCCAUUAAGCCUCGUGGAAUUUCAGUGUGCCAUGUAACUUUUCUAAUGUCACUCAAAAUGCUCUGAUUUUCCUUGAAAGAUUGGGGCAGGUUCACGUGAUCUAUAAUAACUCUAACAACAUAUUUUCAUAUUUCUGAACUAACUGAAACAAUUAUUUCACACACGAUGCACAUUAAAUUGUAUAUUGGUUAGAAAACACUAGAUGAUUUCAGAAAAACUAUAACCCCACAAAGGGACACAAGUUCUUGGCAGAAUAUUGAACAAUUUUAUGUUAAAUGGUGUCAUUCAUUUAUAAAUGGCUCACUUCAUUUGCCAUGUUUUUUGACAUAUCCCAUAAAAUAGCAUUUGUUGUGGAUCCAAGCCAUGUUAUUAUUAUUUUUACCCCAGUCUUUUUAUCCGCUCUUGUUGUUACAUUGGCUCUAUGCAAAAUGCAAUAUGUUUACUCAAUUUUAUACAUAAAGAUAAGGCUAAUUACUACGUAAGCAGUAACUGGGAUGGCAUUGGUGAUGGCUUAAACUGGAGUCUGAGAUGGGAGGAUAGAAAUACUUGUGCAUUUUGAAGGAGUUUGAUAUUUGAUCUAUGUGUGGAAUAUUGCAGUAGCAACUUCCCUGUUAUUCAGCUAAUUUCAUUCCAUAACCUUUCACCUAGGCUUUGGGUGGGUGAAAACAAUCUGGCAUUGUUGCCUGUGUUUCCACAGAGUUCAACCUGAACUUCCGUUGUUCAUGUAUUUUCACAAGCAUUUUUUUUAAAUUUUACUUUAAGUUCUGGGAUACAUGUGCUGAAUGUGCAGGUUUGUUACAUAGGUAUACAUGUACCAUGGUGGUUUGCUGCAUGUAUCAACCGGUCAUUUGGUUUUAAGCCCCGCAUGUAUUAGAUAUUUGUCCUAAUGCUGUCCCUCCCCUUGCUCCCCACCCCCCGACAGGCCCUGGUGUGUGAUGUUCCCCUCCCUGGGUCCAUGUGCUCUCAUCAUUCAACUCCCACUUAUGAUUCACGAGCAUUUUCACAGUUGUGUCUCCUCUUUUCAAAAGGGCAAGCCGCAGACACUAAGGAAUUAAGACAAUGCAGCACAUUAAAGAUGAUGCUUUUGAAGAUAUUAAAGUAGCCUUGAUCCGACAGCUCACAAAAGAGAUGAUUUUAAGGCAUUUCAUAGUCUUUAAUAAAAUUUCACAGUGAAUAAAAUAAAACACCUUAAGUAGAUAUGUAUGUAUAGAUGUGCAUAGACGUAGAAAUGCAAACAUGGUGACAGUAAAUUAUCACAGAAAAUGAAAGCUAUAAAGUACUAUAAAAUAAAUCCCAUUAUGUACACA